UUUUGUGUAUUAUAACGCCAGUGAGAACUCUGAAAUUUCCCUACUUUCACUUUCAUUUUUAGAGGUUCCCGCAGACAGACGCAUUUUGCCGGAAAACGAAUCUGACAUGCCACCUCGAGAUUUUAACCAAGGAAAGACAAGUCGAUGUGCUUUGAUUUGAGGGGUCACUCACUUCUGAACGAAAAUUAGGGACAUCGCUAUGAGAAGAAACGUUAACAUUGUCGCCUAUGGGAAAACAAUUAGUGGACUGUACCCAUAUUGGGAAGCCUAUAAGUUCAUGGUGAUUGGUACAGGAAAACCAUGAGGUUCAUGCAGAUGGUGUUUAAAACUAUUGGCCAGCAAAUGCGAAUACAUCUUGAAACAUCACCAGCAAAAUGUGACAGUCGGCAAAAUGUAGGUUCCCGCAGACAGACGCAUUUUGCCGGAAAACGAAUCUGACAUGCCACCUCGAGAUUUUAACCAAGGAAAGACAAGUCGAUGUGCUUUGAUUUGAGGGGUCACUCACUUCUGAACGAAAAUUAGGGACAUCGCUAUGAGAAGAAACGUUAACAUUGUCGCCUAUGGGAAAACAAUUAGUGGACUGUACCCAGCUGUGU